CUCUGGGCCACAGUACAGUAACAGUUACAUUGUAGCGGAAACUCCAGCAUGAGUGUGUCAUUGUCCCCCCUCGGGGGGCUUCCACCAACGCUCCUGUUAACCGCUCUAAUCGCACUGAUUGGCUGGAGUCCAGCAUCAUGUUCAGUGGUGCUGGAAAUGACGCGAAAUUACCAGUGUCCAGAGAAGGGAUGGGUGACUCUCACCUAUGAGCACAACAUCAGCCACUGUCAGCAGAGCUGGGAUUGGAACCAAACGAGGAUCGCAAUUUACGACCAUCAGGAGCAGUGUAUAACACCGUGUGUCAAGGUGUAUUCUGGCAAGUUGUUUCUAUACACCUGUGAGAAUGUCACCCUCACCUUCUUCUGCCUGACCAGUGCACAGGAUGUGAAUGAGACCAGGGUCCAUUUCAUUGGGAUCAUCUCUAGGAAGCAAGAAUACAAGAACCACCCAGUCACAGUGAAAGUCACUUGGUUCUCGAGAAGAGCACCUGUUUCCCCGGUGGUUUUAUCACAGCGACGGCACAGCGGGGCCGAUGAGACGAAUUUCGGUUGAAAUGCGACAGAAGGAGAGCACGACUGAACACGUCUUCAUUUUAUUUCAUACGAACGUGGAAAAAUUCUAACGUAACAGAUGUACAGUAUCUUGAGAACUUCCCACAAAAUAAACCAACACAACAAAAAUGUGUUUUUCUGCCA
rnacentral:lncRNA from 1 species